CCGGUUGAUCCUGCCGGACCCCACUGCUAUCGGGAUAGGACUAAGACAUGCUAGUCGUGUGCCUCAGCCAAAACGAGGCACGGCGCACAGCUCAGUAACACGUGGCUAACCUGCCCUUAGGACGAGAAUAACCCCGGGAAACUGGGGCUAAUGCUCGAUAGGUGAAGAACUCUGGAAUGAGUCUUCACUUAAAAGAGUCUGCAUUAUGCUCGUAGAUUUCGCUUAAGGAUGGGGCCGCGACCGAUCAGGUUGUUGGUGAGGUAAUGGCUCACCAAGCCUUUUACCGGUGCGGGCCGUGAGAGCGGGAGCCCGGAGAUGGGCACUGAGACAAGGGCCCAGGCCCUACGGGGCGCAGCAGUCGCGAAGACUUUGCAAUACACGAAAGUGUGACAGGGCUAUCCCGAGUGCCAUCCGCUGAGGAAGGCUUUUACCCAGUCUAGAAAGCUGGGGGAAUAAGGAGAGGGCAAGUCUGGUGUCAGCCGCCGCGGUAAUACCAGCUCUCCGAGUGGUGUGGAUGUUUAUUGGGCCUAAAGCAUCCGUAGCUGGCUAAGUUAGUCCCCUGUUAAAUCCAACGAAUUAAUCGUUGGAUCGCGGGGGAUACUGCUUGGCUAGGGGACGAGAGAGGCAGACGGUAUUUCCGGGGUAGGGGUGAAAUCCUAUAAUCCCGGGAAGACCACCAGUGGCGAAAGGCUGUCUGCUAGAACGCGCCCGACGGUGAGGGAUGAAAGCUGGGGGAGCGAGCCGGAUUAGAUACCCGGGUAGUCCCAGCUGUAAACGAUGCAGGCUAGGUGUUUGGGACGGGCCACGUGCCGUUCUAGUACCGCAGGGAAGCUGUUAAGCCUGCCGCUGGGGAGUACGAUCGCAGAUUGAACUUAAAGGAUGGCGGGGGGG
rnacentral:rRNA from 1 species